UGAGUAACCUGCCCUUCACUCUGGGAUAACUCCGGGAAACCGGGGCUAAUACUGGAUAUGACUCGAACAGGCAUCUGUUUCGGGUGGAAAGAUUUAUUGGUGGAGGAUGGACUCGCGGCCUAUCAGCUUGUUGGUGAGGUAAUGGCUCACCAAGGCGAUGACGGGUAGCCGGCCUGAGGAGGGGCGAUCGGCCACACGUGGGACUGAGACACGGCCCAGACCUCCGUACGGGGAGG
rnacentral:rRNA from 1 species